UUUUCGAUGGUAGGAUAGAGGCCUACCAUGGUGGUAACGGGUAACGGGGUGUUAGGGCACGACACCGGAGAGGGAGCCUGAGAAACGGCUACCACAUCCAAGGAUGGCAGCAGGCGCGCAAAUUACCCAAUCCCGACACGGGGAGGUAGUGACAAUAAAUAACAAUACGGGGUUCUUUAGGAUCUCGUAAUUGGAAUGAGUACAAUUUAAAUCUCUUAACGAGGAACAAUUGGAGGGCAAGUCUGGUGCCAGCAGCCGCGGUAAUUCCAGCUCCAAUAGCGUAUAUUAAAGUUGUUGCAGUUAAAAAGCUCGUAGUUGAAUUUCGGGGUUAGUAGGUUGGUCAUGCCUCUGGUAUGUACUGGUCUCACUGAUUCCUCCUUCCUGAUGAACCUUAAUGCCAUUAAUUUGGUGUUUUGGGGAAUUUGGACUGUUACUUUGAAAAAAUUAGAGUGUUUAAAGCAAGCUAACGCUUGAAUACAUUAGCAUGGAAUAAUGAAAUAGGACGUUCGAUCCUAUUUUGUUGGUUUCUAGGAUUGACGUAAUGAUUAAUAGGGAUAGUUGGGGGCAUUAGUAUUCAAUUGUCAGAGGUGAAAUUCUUGGAUUUAUUGAAGACUAACUACUGCGAAAGCAUUUGCCAAGGAUGUUUUCAUUAAUCAAGAACGAAAGUUAGGGGGAUCGAAGACGAUCAGAUACCGUCGUAGUCUUAACCAUAAACUAUGCCGACUAGGGNAUCGGAUGAUGUUAAUUUUUUAAUGACUCAUUCGGCGCCUUAC
rnacentral:rRNA from 1 species